UCCGUAGGUGAACCUGCGGAAGGAUCAUUAAUUACGUUAAAGCGCCUUACCUUAGGGUUUCCUCUGGGGUAAGUGAUUGCUUCUACACUGUGAAAAUUUGGCUGAGAGACUCAGACUGGUCAUGGGUAGACCUAUCUGGGGUUUGAUCGAUGCCACUCCUGGUUUCAGGAGUACCCUUCAUAAUAAACCUAGAAAUUCAGUAUUAUAAAGUUUAAUAAAAAACAACUUUUAACAAUGGAUCUCUUGGUUCUCGCAUCGAUGAAGAACGUAGCAAAGUGCGAUAACUAGUGUGAAUUGCAUAUUCAGUGAAUCAUCGAGUCUUUGAACGCAGCUUGCACUCUAUGGUUUUUCUAUAGAGUACGCCUGCUUCAGUAUCAUCACAAACCCACACAUAACAUUUGUUUAUGUGGUGAUGGGUCGCAUCGCUGUUUUAUUACAGUGAGCACCUAAAAUGUGUGUGAUUUUCUGUCUGGCUUGCUAGGCAGGAAUAUUACGCUGGUCUCAGGAUCUUUUUUUUUGGUUCGCCCAGGAAGUAAAGUACAAGAGUAUAAUCCAGUAACUUUCAAACUAUGAUCUGAAGUCAGGUGGGAUUACCCGCUGAACUUAAGCAUAUCAAUAAGCGGAGGA
rnacentral:rRNA from 1 species